rnacentral:rRNA from 1 species
GAUGAACGCUGGCGGCGUGCCUAAUACAUGCAAGUCGAGCGAACAGACGAGGAGCUUGCUCCUCUGACGUUAGCGGCGGACGGGUGAGUAACACGUGGAUAACCUACCUAUAAGACUGGGAUAACUUCGGGAAACCGGAGCUAAUACCGGAUAAUAUAUUGAACCGCAUGGUUCAAUAGUGAAAUACGGUUUUGCUGUCACUUAUAGAUGGAUCCGCGCCGCAUUAGCUAGUUGGUAAGGUAACGGCUUACCAAGGCAACGAUGCGUAGCCGACCUGAGAGGGUGAUCGGCCACACUGGAACUGAGACACGGUCCAGACUCCUACGGGAGGCAGCAGUAGGGAAUCUUCCGCAAAGGGCGAAAGCCUGACGGAGCAACGCCGCGUGAGUGAUGAAGGUCUUCGGAUCGUAAAACUCUGUUAUUAGGGAAGAACAAAUGUGUAAGUAAAUAUGCACGUCUUGACGGUACCUAAUCAGAAAGCCACGGCUAACUACGUG